rnacentral:rRNA from 1 species
UACGUAGGGUGCAAGCGUGAAUCGGAAUUACUGGGCGUAAAGCGUGCGCAGGCGGUUGUGUAAGACAGAUGUGAAAUCCCCGGGCUCAACCUGGGAACUGCAUUUGUGACUGCACAGCUGGAGUGCAGCAGAGGGGGAUGGAAUUCCGCGUGUAGCAGUGAAAUGCGUAGAUAUGCGGAGGAACACCGUUGGCGAAGGCAAUCCCCUGGGCCUGCACUGACGCUCAUGCACGAAAGCGUGGGGAGCAAACAGG